UUUAAAUAGCUGCGGUAAUUUAACUGUACAAAGGUAGCAUAAUAAUUAGUCUUUUAAUUGAGGUCUAGAAUGAAUGGUUUAACAAAAUAUUAACUUUAUUAUUUUAAACAUUUUAAAUUUAAUUUUUUAGUUAAAAAGCUAAAAUUUUUAAAUGGGACGAUAAGACCCUAUAGAUCUUUAAUUUUAGAAAUUUAAUUUUUUUUUUGAUUUUUUAAAUUUUGAUUUUCAAAAAUUUUUGUUGGGGUGAUAAUAAAAAUUUUAAAACUUUUGUUUUUAUAUACAUAUAUUUAUGAAUAAUUGAUCUUGAAAAUUCAGAUUAUAAGAAUUAGAUACCUUAGGGAUAACAGCGUAAUAAUUUUGGAUAGUUCAUAUUGAUAAAUUUGUUUACGACCUCGAUGUUGAAUUAAUUUAAAGUUUUGAAGUAAAAAUUAAAAAUUUUGGGUCUGUUCGACCUUUAGUUAAUUACA
rnacentral:rRNA from 1 species